rnacentral:lncRNA from 1 species
UUUUUUUCUUUUUUUCUUUUUUGGCUAUUCCCAGGGCAUGUGAAAGUUCCCAGGCCAAGGACCAAAUCUGAGCCAGAGCAGUGACAACACCACGUCUUGAACCACUAAGCCACCCCAGAACUCCUAUAUCUGUUUCACGUAACAAUAAAACAGUUGAAAAAAUAAUAAAAGGGGUGUUUCCGCUGCGGCACAGCAGGUGAAGGAUCUGGCGUUGUCUCUGCAGCAGCCUGGCUUGCUGCAGAGGCACAGGUUUGAUCUCUGGCCUCGGAACUUCCAUAUGCCAGGGGUGCAACCCAAAUAAAUAAAUAAAUAAAUAAUAUUCUUAUUAAAAGGAAAGCUUGCUCCACCGUGGAGGCGAUGCAACCCAAGAGCCAGCAUGCGGCUGGGUGGUAACAGGAAGGCAGCCAGGGGAUGGCUUACAGGUAGGAUCGGGACAGACUGGCCACCAGCAGGGGACUCUGGAAGUGUUACUGGUUUGAAAUGAGUUGGGGGCCAAGUCUCCCCCUUUCGGUCCACUCCACGUCACCCCCUUUAGGCAUCAGGCUCCCUGCAGGAAGUUGCCCUGUCUGCCUAGGCAGGGCCGGGAACCCGCAAGCACCCUGCCCUCUAGCCCUGUUCUCGUCACUGUGCUGAGUCGUAAAGAGAGAUUUCUGGCUGGAACAUCCCCCACCCCAAGCCCCCCUACCAGGGUUUUAAGCUCCACAGGGCCAGGGUCACUGCUGACUUGCUUACAUAAGCCCAGAGCCUGGUGUUUGCUGAAUGAAUGAAUGAAUGCAUGAGCCACCCUUCCAUAAAAGCCGUCCUCUCUAUUACAUUCCCAGGAUCAGAACCCACUCCUGCCUUACUUAACAUGGAAUCAUCAGGGCCUGAGUCAGGGCUUGCCACCUGCCUCCCCAGUAUAUCCUUAUGAAACAAAUGAAUGGAAAAAGAACUGUUCUAGGGAUAAAGGAUACAAAGAUGACCAAGACAUGGCCCUUCCAUCCAAGACUUCCUCAUCUAACAAGGAGAGACACAGACCAGACCAUGUGAUGAAGGCACAGGCAGCAAAUGAACAGGGGUGACGGGAGCACGGGAGGGGGCUGUGACGUGUGAGGGGGAAUCAGGGAGGGCUUCCUGGAAGAGAGGACAAGGAGCUGAUUCUUGAAGGAAAAGCUAGAAAGUCUCCCCAGUGGGAGGCAGGCAGCACCUUCUGGGAAGUGGCCAGGGUCUCCCCUCCCCCACUGGCUUCUCGCCACACCAUCUGCCCCAUCAGCUGCUUCCACCAAGAGUCAUCUUCCCCAAAUCCUCACAUCAUGCCAUGGUUACCACCUAAACACACACACGCACGCACGCAGGCACAUGCACACGCACACCCCCCCCCAAAAAAAAGCACUUGGCCUCCCUAAUACAGUGUGACCUGGGACAAGUUACUUAACCUCUCUGAGGCUUCCUCAACAGUAAAAGGGAGAUGAUGACAAUGGGGCCUCAAUUAGAGGGCUAUUGGAGGGUGACACGCAGUAAACCAUCGCAAGUUCUCAGCGCGGGGCUGGGUUCUAUCACUGAGAAGAGCUUCCAUCUGACUGCCCUUGUUAUCACUCUAGAAGGCGUGCUUCAGAAGAAAGCACACCUGAGUGUGCCCCAGCUUGCUCACACUUUGCUGGUGUGGCUCCAGGAUGUGCAUGCAGAUUUCCUUUAAUCUUGUCAAAGGUAGAGCCUGAUUCAGCAGGUCUGGGAGGGACCCAAGGUUGACAUUUCUAACCAGAGGGCAGGUGAUGCCGGUCCGAGGAUCACACUUCGAGUAACACGUAGCCCUACUGCCCUCCUGUGCCUCCCUCGUAAGGGGGGGGAGGGGGACGACAAUGACCGCCGCACAGGGUUGUUGUACGGAUUACGUGGGACAAUGUGGGUUAGAAGCCCCUGGCACUCAGCUGGGCACACAGUGGGUGCUGAGAAGAUGCUCCCUGCUCUCCUCCCACCAACUAGCUAAUCGCCAAUAGUAUUCAUCUUGGCACAACCUCCACCCAAGAGCACAGUAACAGUGUUCAAAUAAGGUUUAAUGAAGGAAUGAACGAAUGAAUGAAGAAACCCCUUUUUCUUCCUUUUUAGGGCCACACCUGCAGCGCAUGGAAUAAGUUCCCAUCCAAGUAGUCCCAGCGUCCAACCAGGCCUCAUCCCCUGACCCCUGAGACAGUCAGCCCCCACCUGGCUCCCCAGACCCAAGAGUCCAGCGGUGCUGGGAUACAGCUGGACUCCUCCGAAGUCCACACAGCCUUCCUGCCAAGCCACCACACAAUGCCUGCCUGCCUGCCAACCUGACAUGGAGCCCUCCGCUUUUUUAUUGCUAAUUAAUUUGGAUGGAGAUGUCUUUAAAACGAGACUUACGUGGGGUCCUCCCCACUGUCUGUGAACCAAUUUCAUUACAACAGACACCGUGUUGCCAAAAUGAGAAAUCCCCUCCUUCUCGGGCCUGUGCCCUUGAAGGCAUCUUAUUAGAAAAGACCAUUUCUUAAUUAACAUUUUUGAUCUUUAAUCCAUUACACAUCCCUCUAAUCCUGUACGGAGGUGCGGCUGGCCCACUUCCGCGGGCUGGCUCGGGGCUGCGCGAGGCUGGCAAUUUCAGCGCUGAGGGCUCGCUCACAGCUGGACUCCACCGCGGACAGUCUGCCGCUUCCAGACACCACCCCUGGUCCGGCCGCGGGUACAUUUCCCGAGCGGGAGCUGGGAAGGGGGGCUCGGCCCAGACACCCCCGGAUGGGCCAGUCUGCCGACAAGAGUUCAUUUCAUUAACCCCUGAACCCCAUCUCUUCUCGCCCCAGAAUGCUUUCAAGCCAAGGCUGUUUCAGCGGCUCUGGCUCCCACCAAGCGUGAGCGCCGCGAGGCUGGUCUUCCUUCCCAUUCGCACAAAUCUCAAGCAACUCGACCACAUCUGUAGGAAGAGCCGGUCCCAGCAAGGUCGCAGGAUCCCAGUUUGGAAAGCUUUGGACCUGCUCAGUGACUCCAUCUUCCUGGAAGACUUUCUUCAUUGGGUUCUGUGGGCCCCACCCUUCCUGGGUUCCCCCCACCUCCCUGUGCACAUAUCUGUCUCCUCAGUCUCUCUGCCUCAUCUCAGCCUUCCAUACUGAUGCCUCCUGGAUGCAGAUCGCAACUCCUUAGUUCAGCCUGGGCUCACUCCCCUGGUAGGUGCAUCCAUCCCAGCUUCAAGGACCAAUGACACACUCCAGACACCCAAAUACAUGCCCCAUCCCAUCCUCCCCAGAUCGCAGAAUGCACACACUCAAGCCCUCAUCAGCAUCCAAGAGGCAUCUCAAACUUAGAGCCACAAACUAACUCUCAACCCACAGCCUGCAUCUGUACCAGAGGGCAGAACCUCCAGCACAGUGAAGGGCCCCUCCGGCCACUUAGCCGCACACCUGGCAGCCAUCUGAGGUCCCCUCCUUUUCUCAUCCCCAACAUCCAAUCCAGGAGCAAAUUCCGCUGGACCUCCCUCCCAGAGAAACUCCUCACCUGACCUCUUCACUUCCCGCCAUGGGGCCCCGUCCCACCAUCGCUCACCUGGACCAGUGCGCCGGUCAGCUUCACUCCUGCCCACACGCAACUCAACAGAAGCCACAGUGUCCGCUACGGCUUCCUCCCCCUGCAGCUCCCAGACCUCACCUGGGCCCCUCUGCCCCUGGCUCAGUGGCUUCCAGCCACAGUGGCAUCAAUUCCCUUCUUUGUCCUCCAAUAAACCCAGCUCAUUCCCACAGGGGUAAAUGUUUGGAACCCUGCUCACACCUUGCUGCACGGCUCGCUCCCUCUCUGCACAAAUGCCCCCUCCUUGGCAGAGGCCUCUCCAACGGCCCUCUCCUCCCCACCGCCCCAUCAGUCUCCAACUGGCCACGCCACUGGUCCCUGUAACAUAUGUAUUUAUUGUUUACUUUGCUGGCCUCAUCUUCCCCACUAGACUCAUAUCGGGAACUUUGUAGGCCCUGCUCACCAUCUCGAAGUCCCCGGCACUUAGGAGGUGCUCAGUAACCCUUGCAAGUGACAGGCUGAAGCCUGGCAGGCCCUUGCCAGUGGUGAGUCAGGCUCACAGCCAUCACUGGCCAUCAAGAGGAGGUCCUGCAAUCUGAGCACUGAAGGGCAUCCAGCAGCAACUGAGAAGGUGGUCAGAGAGUGAGUAGAACUUCCCGGCGAUCUAUGUUCUGAGAAAGUGUCCAUCAGUGAAUAAAGCACAUCUGAGCCUCAUGCUGGAUCACCAGGGGCAGGAGGGAGAGAAGGUGUCCAUAGGGACAGGGGAGAUGGAGCCUCUGAACAGUUAAAGAAAAGGGGCAAGCUGACAGGUGGUCCUUCAGUGACUCCAAAGGGCAGGAUAGGAGCUCAUGGAAAAGCAGGUUCCCAGGAGACACGUGGGCAAAGGCUUCACAGCCUCGGCCUCCUGGGGCUGGACCUGGAAGGACAUGCAGCUUUGGGGUGGAUGGUGUGGCAGGAGGAGGGGCAAUGCAGGAGGGGGGACACAGCCCAAGCAAAGGCACGGGCUGGAAUGAGGACCCAGGACAGCAAGGAGGGGACUCUAUAAGAGACCGUUUCUGGGACUUGAGGGGUUCUCACCACCCAUCUCAGCUCUUCCAGCAAAAUGCUCCUGUGAGAUCCUCCAGGGACCACCCACCUCAGGGCAUCACUACCUCCCAUGCUGCCGAAGACUCCCGAAUCCCACCAGCUACAGAGCCUGGCAUGAGGCCCCGGACUUCCAGUCUAGGGCUCCUGCCGUCCAGCACUCCCCAAGCUCCCCCUACCUCUGCAUUCCCAGUCCAUGAUCUGAGCCC